rnacentral:rRNA from 1 species
UAUAAUAAAAUUAUAAUAAUUUAAUUAAUUUAAUAAAUUUAUUUUAUUUUUAUUUUAUUUUUAAAAACUGAAAAGGAAUUUAUUAUUAUAAUUUAAUAGAAAAAUUAAUGUACCUUUUGCAUUAGGGGUUUUUAAAAAAAAAUAAAAAUUUAUUUUUCUCGAAAUAUUUUGAGCUAAAAUUUAAUUUUUCUAAUGUUUCAAUAUUAAAAUAAAGUAAAUUUUAGAGGUGAAAUUCUUAUCAAAAAAUAUAAUAUCUAGUUAAAAAAAUUAAUUAAAUGUUAUUUUGUAAUAUUAAUUUAUUUUUUAAAAUUACAAAAAAAGGUUUUUGGGAUAAGCUAAAAAUUAUUAAAUUUAUAAUAUUUUUAAAAAUAAUAAAAGAAUUAAAAUUUUUCUAUUCAUUUUUAUAAAUGAAUUAAAUUAAAUUGAAAUAAAAAUUUUUUUUUUUUAAAUUAAAUUUAAUUAAAAAUUUAAAAAAAAAUGAAAAUAUUAGUAAAAAAAAAUUUUUUAUAAUUAUUAAUAAUUAAUUAAAAAUUAAUUUAAUUUAAUUUUUAAGAACUAGGCAAUUAUUUUUUUUGACUGUUUAAUAAAAACAACGCAUUUAGUUAAACAAUAAAUGCAAAUCCUGCUCAAUGAAAAUUUUUUUUAAAUUGCUGUAGUAUUUUGACUAUACAAAGGUAUUGAAAUAAGGUUUUAAUUGAAUGCUAAGAGAAUGGAAUAUCAAAAAAUAACUUUCUUAAAAUUAAAAAUUGAAAUUUUUUUAAUUUGUGCAAAAACAAUUAUGAAAAUUAAAGACAAGAAGACCCUAAGAAUUUUUAAAAUUUAAAUAAUACAUUUUUUGUUUUAAUUAAAUUUUAACUGGGGCGGUUAAAAAAUAUUAAAAACUUUUUAAUUUUAAAAUGACCCAUUAUUAAUGAAAAUAUGAUUAAAUACUCUAGGGAUAACAGCGUUAUAUUUUUUGAUAGAUCAUAUUGACAAAAAAGUUUGCGACCUCGAUGUUGGAUUAGGAUACUUUUUUAAUGAAGAUAUUAAAAUAAGAAGUUUGUUCAACUUUUAAAUUCCUACAUGAUCUGAGUUUAGACCGAUGAGAAUCAGGUUGGAUUCUAUCUUAAUAAAAAACAAAUUUUAUUUAGUACGAAAGGAAUUUUAAAAUCUAAUUUUUUAGUAUUAUUUAUUUUAUUUGCAUCAAUUUUUGUAAUU